UUGGCACAUGCGGUUGAAUUCUGGCUGAACCGCACCCGCAAAUCAAAUUUUCAAAUCACCAGAUCCGCACCCACCUUGCGGCGGGACAAACAGGGCGGGCCGCAGAUAAUGACUCAAAUUCCCAGCUCUAUUUGUAACCCUUAGAUCUGAGCACCUUCUGAGAGAAGAUCUUGAACUCCCCUUGUUUCUUUACUCUAUUAUGUACUUUUACUUAUCUAUUGCAAUAUUAUUUAGACCAUCGAAAUGUUUUCUAUGAAUAUGUUUGAGUAGUUCUACUGUUAGAGUUAGGGUUCUUCAAAGUAUACCUGAUGGUUUGCUAAUAUGUAUUGUUGUUAGGGUAACUAAAUUAGUUCUUUAUCUAGUUUUUCUUAUUGCAAAGCCUAGAAUAGAUCACCAUAAACUUAGAUGUUAAAGGAUUGAUUGGCGCAAAUUGACGCAAGCGAGAGAUUGGUCUAUUUCCUGAACGAAAAUUAGAUUAUCUAAUUAGCUAGGCACAUACGAGAGUUGGUGUAGGUGAUUAGAGAACAAAUCAAACCUAUUCACCAAAUCUUGUUUAGAAGUUGUGUCGAUCGACACUCCACAAUAGGUAUCGAUCGACACUCCCUGAUGAUUCACAUACGAGAGUUAGACUCCUAGAUCUGGCCAUUAGAUAAUUUCUACUUAUGAAAGUCAAUAGAAUAUAAUUCAA
rnacentral:lncRNA from 1 species